AACGAACGCUGGCGGCAGGCUUAACACAUGCAAGUCGAACGGGCGUAGCAAUACGUCAGUGGCAGACGGGUGAGUAACGCGUGGGAAUGUGCCCUUUAGUUCGGAAUAACACAGAGAAAUUUGUGCUAAUACCGGAUAAGCCCGAGAGGGGAAAGAUUUAUCGCUGAAGGAGCAGCCCGCGUCUGAUUAGCUAGUUGGUGAGGUAAUGGCUCACCAAGGCGACGAUCAGUAGCUGGUCUGAGAGGAUGAUCAGCCACACUGGGACUGAGACACGGCCCAGACUCCUACGGGAGGCAGCAGUGGGGAAUAUUGGACAAUGGGGGCAACCCUGAUCCAGCCAUGCCGCGUGAGUGAUGAAGGCCCUAGGGUUGUAAAGCUCUUUUGUGCGGGAAGAUAAUGACGGUACCGCAAGAAUAAGCCCCGGCUAACUUCGUGCCAGCAGCAGCCGCGG
rnacentral:rRNA from 1 species